GGGACACGUGGUAUCCUGUCUGAAUAUGGGGGGACCAUCCUCCAAGGCUAAAUACUCCUGACUGACCGAUAGUGAACCAGUACCGUGAGGGAAAGGCGAAAAGAACCCCGGCGAGGGGAGUGAAAAAGAACCUGAAACCGUGUACGUACAAGCAGUGGGAGCACAGAGCAAUCUGUGUGACUGCGUACCUUUUGUAUAAUGGGUCAGCGACUUAUAUUCUGUAGCAAGGUUAACCGAAUAGGGGAGCCGAAGGGAAACCGAGUCUUAACUGGGCGUUAAGUUGCAGGGUAUAGACCCGAAACCCGGUGAUCUAGCCAUGGGCAGGUUGAAGGUUGGGUAACACUAACUGGAGGACCGAACCGACUAAUGUUGAAAAAUUAGCGGAUGACUUGUGGCUGGGGGUGAAAGGCCAAUCAAACCGGGAGAUAGCUGGUUCUCCCCGAAAGCUAUUUAGGUAGCGCCUCGUGAAUUCAUCUCCGGGGGUAGAGCACUGUUUCGGCAAGGGGGUCAUCCCGACUUACCAACCCGAUGCAAACUGCGAAUACCGGAGAAUGUUAUCACGGGAGACACACGGCGGGUGCUAACGUCCGUCGUGAAGAGGGAAACAACCCAGACCGCCAGCUAAGGUCCCAAAGUCAUGGUUAAGUGGGAAACGAUGUGGGAAGGCCCAGACAGCCAGGAUGUUGGCUUAGAAGCAGCCAUCAUUUAAAGAAAGCGUAAUAGCUCACUGGUCGAGUCGGCCUGCGCGGAAGAUGUAACGGGGCUAAACCAUGCACCGAAGCUGCGGCAGCGACGCUGAUGCGUUGUUGGGUAGGGGAGCGUUCUGUAAGCCUGCGAAGGUGUGCUGUGAGGCAUGCUGGAGGUAUCAGAAGUGCGAAUGCUGACAUAAGUAACGAUAAAGCGGGUGAAAAGCCCGCUCGCCGGAAGACCAAGGGUUCCUGUCCAACGUUAAUCGGGGCAGGGUGAGUCGACCCCUAAGGCGAGGCCGAAAGGCGUAGUCGAUGGGAAACAGGUUAAUAUUCCUGUACUUGGUGUUACUGCGAAGGGGGGACGGAGAAGGCUAUGUUGGCCGGGCGACGGUUGUCCCGGUUUAAGCGUGUAGGCUGGUUUUCCAGGCAAAUCCGGAAAACUAAGGCUGAGGCGUGAUGACGAGGCACUACGGUGCUGAAGCAACAAAUGCCCUGCUUCCAGGAAAAGCCUCUAAGCAUCAGGUAACAUCAAAUCGUACCCCAAACCGACACAGGUGGUCAGGUAGAGAAUACCAAGGCGCUUGAGAGAACUCGGGUGAAGGAACUAGGCAAAAUGGUGCCGUAACUUCGGGAGAAGGCACGCUGAUAUGUAGGUGAAGCGACUUGCUCGUGGAGCUGAAAUCAGUCGAAGAUACCAGCUGGCUGCAACUGUUUAUUAAAAACACAGCACUGUGCAAACACGAAAGUGGACGUAUACGGUGUGACGCCUGCCCGGUGCCGGAAGGUUAAUUGAUGGGGUCAGCGCAAGCGAAGCUCUUGAUCGAAGCCCCGGUAAACGGCGGCCGUAACUAUAACGGUCCUAAGGUAGCGAAAUUCCUUGUCGGGUAAGUUCCGACCUGCACGAAUGGCGUAAUGAUGGCCAGGCUGUCUCCACCCGAGACUCAGUGAAAUUGAACUCGCUGUGAAGAUGCAGUGUACCCGCGGCAAGACGGAAAGACCCCGUGAACCUUUACUAUAGCUUGACACUGAACAUUGAGCCUUGAUGUGUAGGAUAGGUGGGAGGCUUUGAAGUGUGGACGCCAGUCUGCAUGGAGCCGACCUUGAAAUACCACCCUUUAAUGUUUGAUGUUCUAACGUGGACCCGUAAUCCGGGUUGCGGACAGUGUCUGGUGGGUAGUUUGACUGGGGCGGUCUCCUCCUAAAGAGUAACGGAGGAGCACGAAGGUUGGCUAAUCCUGGUCGGACAUCAGGAGGUUAGUGCAAUGGCAUAAGCCAGCUUGACUGCGAGCGUGACGGCGCGAGCAGGUGCGAAAGCAGGUCAUAGUGAUCCGGUGGUUCUGAAUGGAAGGGCCAUCGCUCAACGGAUAAAAGGUACUCCGGGGAUAACAGGCUGAUACCGCCCAAGAGUUCAUAUCGACGGCGGUGUUUGGCACCUCGAUGUCGGCUCAUCACAUCCUGGGGCUGAAGUAGGUCCCAAGGGUAUGGCUGUUCGCCAUUUAAAGUGGUACGCGAGCUGGGUUUAGAACGUCGUGAGACAGUUCGGUCCCUAUCUGCCGUGGGCGCUGGAGAACUGAGGGGGGCUGCUCCUAGUACGAGAGGACCGGAGUGGACGCAUCACUGGUGUUCGGGUUGUCAUGCCAAUGGCACUGCCCGGUAGCUAAAUGCGGAAGAGAUAAGUGCUGAAAGCAUCUAAGCACGAAACUUGCCCCGAGAUGAGUUCUCCCUGACUCCUUGAGAGUCCUGAAGGAACGUUGAAGACGACGACGUUGAUAGGCCGGGUGUGUAAGCGCAGCGAUGCGUUGAGCUAACCGGUA
rnacentral:rRNA from 1 species